rnacentral:rRNA from 1 species
UACGAAGGGGGCUAGCGUUGCUCGGAAUCACUGGGCGUAAAGGGUGCGUAGGCGGGUCUUUAAGUCAGGGGGGAAAUCCUGGAGCUCAACUCCAGAACUGCCUUUGAUACUGAAGAUCUUGAGUUCGGGAGAGGUGAGUGGAACUGCGAGUGUAGAGGUGAAAUUCGUAGAUAUUCGCAAGAACACCAGUGGCGAAGGCGGCUCACUGGCCCGAUACUGACGCUGAGACGCGAAAGCGUGGGGAGCGAACAGG